rnacentral:rRNA from 1 species
UGGGGAAUUUUGGACAAUGGGGGAAACCCUGAUCCAGCCAUCCCGCGUGUGCGAUGAAGGCCUUCGGGUUGUAAAGCACUUUUGGCAGGAAAGAAACGUCAUGGGUUAAUACCCCGUGAAACUGACGGUACCUGCAGAAUGAGCACCGGCUAACUACGUGCCAGCAGCCGCGGUAAUACGUAGGGUGCAAGCGUUAAUCGGAAUUACUGGGCGUAAAGCGUGCGCAGGCGGUUCGGAAAGAAAGAUGUGAAAUCCCAGAGCUCAACUUUGGAACUGCAUUUUUAACUACCGGGCUAGAGUGUGUCAGAGGGAGGUGGAAUUCCGCGUGUGGCAGUGAAAUGCGUAGAUAUGCGGAGGAACACCGAUGGCGAAGGCAGCCUCCUGGGAUAACACUGACGCUCAUGCACGAAAGCGUGGGGAGCAAACAGG